AUUGAACGCUGGCGGCAUGCCUUACACAUGCAAGUCGAACGGCAGCGGGGGAGAAGCUUGCUUUUCCUGCCGGCGAGUGGCGAACGGGUGAGUAAUACAUCGGAACGUGCCCUGCAGUGGGGGAUAACUAGUCGAAAGAUUAGCUAAUACCGCAUACGACCUGAGGGUGAAAGUGGGGGACCGCAAGGCCUCAUGCUAUAGGAGCGGCCGAUGUCUGAUUAGCUAGUUGGUGGGGUAAAGGCCUACCAAGGCGACGAUCAGUAGCUGGUCUGAGAGGACGAUCAGCCACACUGGGACUGAGACACGGCCCAGACUCCUACGGGAGGCAGCAGUGGGGAAUUUUGGACAAUGGGCGAUAGCCUGAUCCAGCAAUGCCGCGUGUGUGAAGAAGGCCUUCGGGUUGUAAAGCACUUUUGUCCGGAAAGAAAUGGCUCUGGUUAAUACCUGGGGUCGAUGACGGUACCGGAAGAAUAAGGACCGGCUAACUACGUGCCAGCCGCCGCCGUAA
rnacentral:rRNA from 1 species